GGUUAAGCGACUAAGCGUACACGGUGGAUGCCCUGGCAGUCAGAGGCGAUGAAGGACGUGCUAAUCUGCGAUAAGCGUCGGUAAGGUGAUAUGAACCGUUAUAACCGGCGAUUUCCGAAUGGGGAAACCCAGUGUGAUUCGUCACACUAUCAUUAACUGAAUCCAUAGGUUAAUGAGGCGAACCGGGGGAACUGAAACAUCUAAGUACCCCGAGGAAAAGAAAUCAACCGAGAUUCCCCCAGUAGCGGCGAGCGAACGGGGAGGAGCCCAGAGCCUGAAUCAGUGUGUGUGUUAGUGGAAGCGUCUGGAAAGGCGCGCGAUACAGGGUGACAGCCCCGUACACAAAAAUGCACAUACUGUGAGCUCGAUGAGUAGGGCGGGACACGUGGUA
rnacentral:rRNA from 1 species